CAGCAGCCGCGGUAAUACGCAGGGUGCGAGCGUUAAUCGGAAUUACUGGGCGUAAAGCGUGCGCAGGCGGUUAUAUAAGACAGAUGCGAAAUCCCCGGGCUCAACCUGGGACCUGCAUUUGUGACUGUAUAGCUAGAGUACGGUAGAGGGGGAUGGAAUUCCGCGUGUAGCAGUGAAAUGCGUAGAUAUGCGGAGGAACACCGAUGGCGAAGGCAAUCCCCUGGACCUGUACUGACGCUCAUGCACGAAAGCGUGGGGAGCAAACAGGAUUAGAUACCCGCGUAGUCCCUGUCUCUUAUAC
rnacentral:rRNA from 1 species